UGAUUUCAUCUGGCGACCUGGUGCUUAGCAGCGCAAUACCAUAGCCGCUAAGGCACCGCGGUGGUUGUUACCCAAAUCAAACAUUUGAUUGUCGAACUUUUCAGUGCACUUUCCAAGGCCUAGGGACUCUGAAUCUACGAUCAGAGAUUUACUUGCUAAUUGAGUUCCUCAAGUAUCUGCUGGCAAGGAAUGACUUUGAUGUUUUGCUGCCAUUGCUGACGGGUGUCUGCGAAGGCAUCACUAGCACCCUUGGCCUUCUUACUGGUGGAAUCGUUAGCCUCUCCUGCGAUGAGCUCCAAUUCGAUAUAGAUGUUGUGUGCAGUGAACCCAUCGCCAUCAGCUUCCCAACCACCACGUCUUUCCAAAAGUGCUUGAAUUCGACUGGUCUCACUUGCGUCAACGACACACCGGUAGACGAGCCGGCAAUACUUGGAUUCUUGAGAGUAUUGGCGUGCCUGGUGAGGUACGUUCUCGACACCGCACCGAGCGAAAUCGUAAAGCAGCUGGGCUGUGAUUUGGUCGGUGUUGUUCACUCGAUCAGUGGCAGCUGCAGUGCGACGGUUGUUUCACCGUUGAUCUGCGCCUUGGAAAGAAUACUAAACACCGAGUGCUCUGUUGUCCAGUGCUAGAACAAAGGCUCCACCCUUUACAUGCACAUAUAAAUUUGAAACUCGGCAUAUCUAUUGUUUAUAUAACCAAAGAAAACUUGAUGGCAUAAAUUGAAGAUUGUUGAAACAUUUUGUUAUUCUGCUUUUGCCUGCAUACAUUCUAGGAAAGCGAACCUCAGCCCUUGCUCGCUAAACCUUUAAAUCUAAAUACAUUAUUUUCUCUCGAACGAGGUGUCAUUGAAGAUCGGUGACAUAUUAGGUAAAUAUGCCUCUGCGUUAAUUUGUUCGAGCCAAGCGAAGCGCUGUAACCCGAGGCAAGUCUUUUAAAUCAAUGCAAAAUAUCCUCUCUCCAGCGAUUUAUGCAGAAAGCCUACAUUUAAUGUACAGUAAAAACUUGUUCGCAACGUAAUUUCGCUCUUUAGCCACUAAACUAGCGAUAUAAAUCUUGAGUUCACACGUUCCCAGAUGCCAUGAAAUAUUGAUGCCUAGAAUUCCUGUCGCGAAUUUGCGUAUAUGUCAUAAACGUUCUUCCCUUUUAAAGAGCACAAAUGCAUGUUUUCGAUUUGAAAAUAAGAGCCGUAAAUACUGACUCACGAGAGCUCGCAUGCGAAAUUAAUUAAACUAUCAAUGCCAAAGCAUCUUCGUUAGCUGCUUUCCUUGUACCUAAAGUAGCUAAUUUCUAACUCAAAGAAAAUAUUUUCGAUUAUUUUGUACUAUAUUAUUAGUAAACGUUGAAAUCUGGCAAAGAAGUACUCAUUUUAAGGUCUAUUAACUAGCGCAUGCAUUUCCCUUCCUCUUACCUGUUCAUACGGAAAGAACUUAGGUUCAAUAAAGUGGCACUAAAGCAAAGUCAUGCUUUUUUUUACGUUUUUUGCGCUCCUGUUUGUCCUGUGCCAUGCAAUUUCCUUUCUGAAAAUUUUGGCUGGUUCACCGAAAUGAUAUUUUUUGAAUACGGAGAAGCAAUGCAAAGCUGAUUACCUCAUGACUUAACGUGGCGCCUUGCGCAAGGGAGAUGGGAACAAAAAAUAGGCGGCCUAAAUCAUGAUGGCAGAUGCCAUUACUGUAACAUAUUUCUGUUAAAAUAAGCAAAAGAACGUUUUAAAUUUUUUCUUUUUAUUUUUAUAUAUUGGUUUAUUAUAGCAACUGUGAUUCGAAAGCAUAGUUCUUUUUUCAUUUCUAAGAGUCAGUUUUUUACAGUACAAAAAACAUGAAAUUUUAGGAACUUGAUGCAUUAUGGAAACGCAUGUAGUAAAUUCUUUGACUUUUAGUAAUGUUUUAGCAAACGUUUAGUCAAUUUUCAGCAAUAAAUAUAGUUUGUGGAAAUCGAGGUGCAGUGUCGCGUUUCCUGCUCGAUGCUCGUGCAUGUCACGGUCAUUGGCCAAUCUCCUGCAACCGCCGACCCCGUGCCCACAUGACAUACAUGGCCUGCGCGCAGACUACUUUCUUGUGCAAAGCAUGUUAUUUGUCUCGGCGUCUAAUCACAUGUGCGAGCACGCUUCACGUGGACGAGCCCUGACUGGUUUUCUUGUGUCUGCUGCCGGGCGCCCUCUUCACCAAGCUCUCAGCAACCCACAAGCUUCCACACCACGGCCAGAUGUGGGCCCCACACGCU